UGAGGAAUAUUGGUCAAUGGCCGAGAGGCUGAACCAGCCAAGUCGCGUGAGGGAAGACGGCCCUACGGGUUGUAAACCUCUUUUGUCGGGGAGCAAAGCGAACCACGUGUGGUUCAUUGAGAGUACCCGAAGAAAAAGCAUCGGCUAACUCCGUGCCAA
rnacentral:rRNA from 1 species